GAUGAAGAACGUAGCGAAAUGCGAUAAGUAAUGCGAAUUGCAGAAUUUCCGUGAGUCAUCGAAUCUUUGAACGCACAUUGCGCCCACUGGUAUUCCGGUGGGCAUGCCUGUUCGAGCGUCAUUUAACCCCUCAAGCCUAGCUUGGUAUUGGGUGCUUGUCCCGCCUCUCGCGCGGCGACUCACCUCAAAGUCAUUGGCAGCCCGCAUCUCGCCGGCCGUGAGCGCAGCACAGACGCGCUCUUGGCAACGACGGAUCGGCUCUCCAAAAGCUUAUUUCAACCACUGACCUCGGAUCAGGUAGGGAUACCCGCUGAACUUAAGCAUAUCAAUAAGCGGAGGA
rnacentral:misc_RNA from 1 species